rnacentral:rRNA from 1 species
AACGAACGCUGGCGGCAGGCUUAACACAUGCAAGUCGAACGCCCCGCAAGGGGAGUGGCAGACGGGUGAGUAACGCGUGGGAAUCUACCUAGUUCUACGGAACAACAGAGGGAAACUUCUGCUAAUACCGUAUACGCCCUAUGGGGGAAAGAUUUAUCGGAAUUAGAUGAGCCCGCGUAAGAUUAGCUAGUUGGUGAGGUAAUGGCUCACCAAGGCGACGAUCUUUAGCUGGUCUGAGAGGAUGAUCAGCCACACUGGGACUGAGACACGGCCCAGACUCCUACGGGAGGCAGCAGUGGGGAAUAUUGGACAAUGGGCGCAAGCCUGAUCCAGCCAUGCCGCGUGAGUGAUGAAGGCCUUAGGGUUGUAAAGCUCUUUCAGUAGGGAAGAUAAUGACGGUACCUACAGAAGAAGCCCCGGCUAACUUCGUGCCAGCCGCCGCGGUAACAC